AGUUAAUAGGAAUUGAUGUAGUUAUCCACAAAACAAUAUUUUUUUAGGUAAUUUAUGAACUCCGCACAAGUCAGUGUUUAUCGAAUAGACUCUGAGGUUUCCAAAUAACAGCAGUUUGCAAGAAUUGAAAUAUUUAUAAUAGUAAAGUAUUAAAGUAAACCAAGGAAUAUGUUUUCCAAACCAGAUACUGACUGAAAUAGCUAAACUGGGGUGGCAGCAGGCUUGGAUAGUUUUCUGACAGUUUGCAAUUGUAUUUUUUAAUUCACUAAUGAAAGUGUUUAGUUUACAAAUGAGUAAAAGAAUUACUGUAAUGACAGCACCAAUCUCAUUCGAGCUUUAGACAAGUCAGACGGGAGGGAGAGACUGAUGGCUGGGAGCACAUCGGCUGCAGCUGGGACUAGAAUGGGGGGGAGGAAUAGGCAAAGUAGAGGAAUUAUCAUUGUAAUGCAAUUUGGCUUUUAGCUGGUGAAUCAGGAACUCAGCAGGGCACCUGAAUUCAAGCAGGGGGAGGGGGAAUGUUUGACACCCAACACAAAUAGCCGAUUUGGCUGUGUGUGUGCGCUGGCACUCGUUUCAUGCCAAUUAAUAAAAUCCAAGGCAAAUAUGAGUCUAAAAACCAAAAGAAAAAAAAUUACCUGGGCGCUAUCCCAAAUCCCUACGCACGUCUAAAUAACUGGAGGUUUAGUAUCACUCCAAUAGCCAUUAACGUGUAAGCUCACCUGCCAAGUCAAGGCAAAACCUCUUAGGCGAGUCCUACACCGACAAUUCACCUUGCUGCUUUUCAGAGAGGGGUAUAUUUCUAAACACCUACACACUUAUUAACCCUUAAUAUGGAACACAUGAGGAGUAGUGGCUGUUUGACCACAGAGAUUCAUUUUGUAUUUAAUUGGUUUGUUUAAUUGACACUUUAGCUGUUAAACUUAAAGCACAAUGCCACUUCUCCGUUGUGUUUAAAAAAAAACUUAUUGUUAUAAGUCAAUAUUUUAACCUAAACUUCGAAAUAAACUUUGAGUCUUGACAAUCAGUUUAGUAAAUAAUCCGGGACUUCCUUCUCAAAAUCAAAACCGACAGAGAGGAAUUUGUAUUCCUGAUCUUAUAAAACAUGUUUAUGUGGCUUGCCCCCCCCCCUUAAAAAGAAUUCAACCUCACCUUUUUUCCAGCGCCACGUGAGUUUGAUGGCGCUGGCCCUGUCCCCAAAACACCUCCUUGGCUGUGAUCAUCAGAAUUGAAUUGGAAAGCUAAAGCGUAAAUGUUGCAAAAUGCCACUCUGCGCCAAUCAGCAGCUCCUCAUAGUGAUACAUCGAAUCAAUGUUCAGUGUCUCCAUGCACAGCGUGUGGACUUUGAACAACAAUGUGCAGCAAUAACCCAGGAAGCUCCUCUAGUGGCCGUCUGAGCAACAGGAUCUAGAGGUGUUCAUAGGCAGCAAUGUAAACACUGCCCUUUCUGUAAAAAAAUAAAAAGCCUGCCGGUAAUUACUACAUGUUCUGGUGGUUAUAGUGUCUCUUAAAGUUAAACAUGAAAACAUGAUGGAUUUAGAAAUAUGAUUCAGGAACAGCUUCCUUGCACCAUAACCAGGUGGAUUCGCCCUUGCUGAGGUUAGUUUAGUGCCGGGUGCUUGGAAUAACAUUGAGCAGAUCAUUUGAGGGAGUAUUGUUCUCUGUAACCAUGUGGGAGGGACACAUCCACAAAGUCACCUCCUGGGUGCAGGAGUAUAGAAUGGCCCCCUGCUUAUCCUUCACUUGUUGUCCAGAAAUUCUGACAUUGUAACGUAAGGUUCUUUACUCAGAAUCUGUGGGAAUUCAAACCAUACUCUGUGUAAAGAGACAGCCACAUGCCGUGUAAAGAGACACGGUCUGAGACAGCCAAAUGCCGUGUAAAGAGACACGGUCUGAGACAGCCAGGACUGUGCAUUGUAAAAGAGACAAGGUGUAAGGAGACAGCCAAAUUCCAUGUUAAGAGACAAUUGGACUAUGCCAUGUAAAGAGAAAUGAUCUAAUGAGACAGCCACACAGCAUCUAAAGAGACAGAUGGAUUUAUGCUGUGUAAAGAGAUAGACAGUAGAGCACUAACCGCUGGGACACCCCUGUCACGGGAGAUGGGACUCCUCGUACGUGUUCCCUUAAUUAUACAUUGUAUCGUCAGAUUUUUCCCUGCAUUUGGAUGGAAUUGUUCCCUCUGUUCAGUUACCGAACAGAUUCUGUGGGGUCCCCUUGAUCGCAAACCAUGUUUAGGCUUGAUUGGAAGACUGUGCUUGUCCCAUUCUAAAUAUGAUAAAAAUGAGGCUGGAGUAUUAAUCUGUGGAUGGGUAUUAAUGCCUCUUUUUAUAUAAUAUUGGAACACAAGGCUGGUUCAUAUCAAAGGACUACUUAUCAGAGAGGGAAUCAAUACAU
rnacentral:lncRNA from 1 species